ensembl:lncRNA
CUACUUCACAGAAAAGCUACUUAUAUAUUGUAAAUAAGUUGAACCUCAUUUGAGUGAAUGUUACCAUUCCUAUGUCAAUCUAGAAAGGAGAAUCAAGCAGACCAUUGUAAGGAUGUCUCUGAAAUCUAAUACAGGAGGUGACCUCAAUGACCCAGUGGUAAAGGAACAGAUGUUGGAGCAGAUAAGAAAGGAGUUUGUGAAGAAUGGUAACUUCAUCCAAGGCCUAAGUUGGAGAGAACUGCCGAAUGGAGAUGUUUUUCGCAAAACAGUUGAACUUGGAAGCCCUGAUGAAGGUAAGCACUUUUUGGUGCUACAGUUAUAAAAAUGACCCUACUUUUGUUUAGUCUUGUGCAGAGUCCCUUGUACAGUGUGUUUUUAGGUUUUGCAUCCCACUGACAGUUUGGAAAUGAAGUAAGGUGUUCAUGAACUAUUUCUUUGUACUGUUGUGUUUGUUUUCUUAGGUCAGUGUGGUUCUGGAUGAAGAGGACCAGUAAAGGCAAUGCAGAAGGAGAGGCAUGGAAGGUCCAAGGAAACCACAUUAUAUAUUAUAUACCUUAUAAUACGUAAUACAAUAUUAUUCUUGUUAAUGUCAUUCAAGUUAUGAUAGUUCGAUUUGUCGUAUGAAGGUAAAAUUAUGUAAUUUACAUUAGGAUUGAUUUAGACUUUACAAUGUUUGACUAAUAUAACACCAAAUUAUAAUCUAAGAUAUUUGUUGGUGUAUGAAUGUAAUGUAAUAAUGUUUGUUGUACAUCAGGGCAAUUUGGUUAGUGAAGAGAAGAGGAAUUUAAAGGACAUUUCUGGUUUUUCAAGUCUGUUGUUAAGGACAUUUCAGGCAGGGACUUGCAUUGUAAUGAGAAAAAGCAUAUUACACACAAUUAUGGAUGUGACUGUUGACAUUCUUCAAUAAAAGAUGUUUGAUUAGUGACAUCAGUAUUACCAUUAUUUUCACUCUCCAGCAAGAAUGGUGAGAUGGAGGCAGUAAUCACAACAGAGUUAUGUAGAAUUAUGUGCCAACAUGCAAGUGUCACGCCCUGGUCGAAGUAUUUUGUGUUUAUCUUCAUUUAUUUGGUCAGGCCAGGGUGUGGCAUGGGUUUUUGUAUGUGGUGUGUUGGGAUUGUAGCUUAGUGGGGUGUUCUAGUUAAGUCUAUGGCUGUCUGAAGUGGUUCUCAGAGGCAGGUGUUUAUCGUUGUCUCUGAUUGGGAACCAUAUUUAGGCAGCCAUAUUCUUUGAGUGUUUUGUGGGUGAUUGUCCUUUGUGUCCUGAUUCUGUGUUUAUGUGCACCAGUAUUAGGCUGUUUCAGUUUUUGUUACGUUUAUUGUUUUGUAGUGUUUGUAUUUAGAUUCGUGUUGCUUCAGUUUAAUAAACAUGGAUCGCAAUCUACACGCCGCAUUUUGGUCCGACUCUCUUUCAACCGAAGAAAGCCGUUACAGCAAGCAGUAACCUUCAGGGAACAGUACAUACAGAGACACACACAGACAGACAGACUGUUGUGGGUGUGACAGAAUGGCAGUAUCCAUGUCAUGAAGCUAAUCAACAUUUGUAUAUCAUUAGAGUUUUCCCUGGUGUCAUGGUGUGUUGUGGCAGCUAUUACAGUCAAACACAGGCUCAUGGAUAGCAGGGGAGGAGUGUGGGGGUCUUGUCCUUAUUCGUGUAGUUGAUGGCUGUUAUACAUGAAUCAACUUGAUAAAAGAAGCCAUGUAGGCCUAGUUAUUUAGAAAAUGGUUUUAUCCAAAUUGACAUAGACCAGGAAGUAAAACCACAUCCAAACUACUUCUACCGUAGCACUAAACUCCAACCAACUAAGCUACAACGUGUUCAUACCAGUAACUAUGGGCUCUUGUAUAUCCAGAAUUACAUUGCACUUUAUUUACAAAAUUGGGGAUUAGGCUGCCAUAACCCUGCAGGUACCACAUGAAAACAAACCUUAAUUGAAACUUUAUAAACUCACCUCUCUUUCCCCGGUCUCCCCAUCUCACAACCAAACUCUGGGGAGGGAAGAGGACAGCUAACUGGGUAGGUGUGACAUCAUUUCAAGCUGCAUUAAACAUCUUGGAUCAAUUGAAAACAUCAAAUGAAGAAAAACCUGGUCACAAAAACCACAGAAAAGUAUUAAUCCGCCAGUCUCUGAAUUGUUUAUUGCAAGCAAAAAUAGUUAACGGUGGGGUUGCAGUACCUACAACUUCCACUCGAUGUCGCCAGUACUGGCAUUUUCAUUUGUUUAAAUUCUUGGUGAAAUGACAAAUAGGCCCUUCCUGUCAUCCAGUAAACAGGAAGAGACUUAUGGGAGAGAGACAAAGGACCAUGAUUUCAAGAGUAGCUGCAAUUGAAUACAGAUCGCCCAGUGAUCAAUUUGAUCGAUUAUUAACGUUUACAAAUACCUAAAGUUGGGUUACAAACGUAGUUUGAAGUGUUUUGUAAAAGUUUAUAGGCAACUUUUUUAAUAAAAAAAAAUGACGUUGCG